rnacentral:rRNA from 1 species
AACGAACGCUGGCGGCAGGCCUAACACAUGCAAGUCGAACGCUCUAGCAAUAGAGAGUGGCAGACGGGUGAGUAACGCGUGGGAACCUUCCCAAUGGUACGGAAUAGCUCAGGGAAACUUGAGGUAAUACCGUAUAAGCCCCUAGGGGGAAAGAUUUAUCGCCAUUGGAUGGGCCCGCGUCGGAUUAGCUAGUUGGUGAGGUAAUGGCUCACCAAGGCGACGAUCCGUAGCUGGUUUGAGAGAAUGACCAGCCACACUGGGACUGAGACACGGCCCAGACUCCUACGGGAGGCAGCAGUGGGGAAUCUUGGACAAUGGGCGAAAGCCUGAUCCAGCCAUGCCGCGUGAGUGACGAAGGCCUUAGGGUUGUAAAGCUCUUUUGCCGGGGACGAUAAUGACGGUACCCGGAGAAUAAGUCCCGGCUAACUUCGUGCCAGCAGCCGCUGUAAGAC